AGCGAACGCUGGCGGCAGGCUUAACACAUGCAAGUCGAACGCAUCCUUCGGGGUGAGUGGCAGACGGGUGAGUAACACGUGGGAACGUACCCUUCGAUCUGGGAUAACUUCGGGAAACUGGAGCUAAUACCGGAUACGCCCUUUUGGGGAAAGGUUUACUGUCGAAGGAUCGGCCCGCGUCUGAUUAGCUAGUUGGUGGGGUAACGGCCUACCAAGGCGACGAUCAGUAGCUGGUCUGAGAGGAUGAUCAGCCACACUGGGACUGAGACACGGCCCAGACUCCUACGGGAGGCAGCAGUGGGGAAUAUUGGACAAUGGGCGCAAGCCUGAUCCAGCCAUGCCGCGUGAGUGAUGAAGGCCUUAGGGUUGUAAAGCUCUUUUGUCCGGGACGAUAAUGACGGUACCGGAAGAAUAAGCCCCGGCUAACUUCGU
rnacentral:rRNA from 1 species